AAGCAUCAAAACCCCCUCCCCCGCACCGCCUGGACGCUGCGUGCCAUCAUAAUAGUUGGCCUGCUAGCGCUCAGUGAAGGCCAGCACACAACGAAGCGAAAAGGCAGCUGAGCUGUCGACGGAGUCGCCAGGCGCCAAGCACCUACCCACACGCACACACAGCAUUGAGAACUGUUAAGGGCCGGAGCGGGAAAGGUGGGCGGGCAGGGCCAGAGGAAAACGUCACACGAGCAAGAAGAGGCGACGACCAGAUGAAGAAAUAGGCGAAGCAGAACAUAUCGUGAGCCACAAGAGAUGGCGACGCACAUGCACGCCGAGACCCAUGUCCUCUCCCACCCCAGCGCUCGUUCUGUUUGCCUCCACGCGCUCUCUCGCCAUCACCACAGAAUAUGGCCGUGCAGUGACAAGUGAAUGCACACAUGCAUCUGCAUGCUCCACCUCUUGUUGCUCGCUGCGUCUUUGCUGCCUUUCCGUUCUCUGUCUCCUCUCCUUCCCGUGUGUGUGUGUGACGUGUUGUACGACCUGUUGUGUGACGGCCUCGCUGCUCACCUCCCUCCGCUCGUCGGUCGCUUUCUUUCUUUUCCGUCGCUUCAUGUGUCAUCGGCCCAAAGGUGCGUACAUACGACCACGCCGCGACAAGCGGUAAGCUCAUGAAGACAGCCGGCACACAGCGUGUGUCGGCGGCUGCAGCAGUGACGCUGGCACACACGCGGGCACGUCCACGCAAGCCGAUCGGACACAUCACUGUCUGUCUUUGUGUCUGCCCAUGUACGGGCAUCCCCCCUUCACAGCGUCGGGGUUGUUACAGGCUCACAGAGCCUCACACCCAUCUUCCGCCCACCCAGCUGCACAUCCCCUCUGUCUCUCGCCCCUUUUCCUGCUCGACCCUCCACACUCACUCUGGCGCCUAG
rnacentral:misc_RNA from 1 species